CGCUAGCGGCAGGCCUAACACAUGCAAGUCGAGGGGUAACAGGAAAGCUUGCUUUUGCUGACGACCGGCGCACGGGUGCGUAACGCGUAUGCAACCUACCUCAUACUGGAGGAUAGCCCUUGGAAACGAGGAUUAAUACUCCAUAGCAUCACGAAUUCGCAUGUUUUUGUGAUUAAAGUCUUUCGGUAUGAGAUGGGCAUGCGUCCCAUUAGCUAGUUGGUGAGGUAACGGCUCACCAAGGCGACGAUGGGUAGGGGGCCUGAGAGGGUGGUCCCCCACACUGGUACUGAGACACGGACCAGACUCCUACGGGAGGCAGCAGUGAGGAAUAUUGGUCAAUGGAGGCAACUCUGAACCAGCCAUGCCGCGUGAAGGAUGACGGCCCUAUGGGUUGUAAACUUCUUUUAUAUGGGAAGAAACUUAUCUACGUGUAGAUAACUGACGGUACCAUACGAAUAAGGAUCGGCUAACUCCGUGCCAGCAGCCGCGGUAAUACGGAGGAUCCAAGCGUUAUCCGGAUUCAUUGGGUUUAAAGGGUCCGUAGGCGGGUCUUUAAGUCAGUGGUGAAAGCCGACAGCUCAACUGUCGAACUGCCAUUGAUACUGGAGACCUUGAGUACAAAUGAAGUAGGCGGAAUGAGUCAUGUAGCGGUGAAAUGCAUAGAUAUGACUCAGAACACCGAUUGCGAAGGCAGCUUACUAACAUGUAACUGACGCUGAGGGACGAAAGCGUGGGGAGCGAACAGGAUUAGAUACCCUGGUAGUCCACGCCGUAAACGAUCAUCACUCGCUGUUGGCGAUAUACUGUCAGCGGCCAAGCGAAAGUAUUAAGUGAUGCACCUGGGGAGUACGCCGGCAACGGUGAAACUCAAAGGAAUUGACGGGG
rnacentral:rRNA from 1 species